rnacentral:tRNA from 1 species
GGACCCGUGGUCUAGCGGCUAUGACGUCACCUUGACUCGGUGAAGAUCCCCAGUUCAAAUCUGGGCGGGUCCA